ensembl:lncRNA
UAUUAUUAUUAUUAUUAUUAUUAUUUUACAUUUUUUUGCACACUUGAAAUUACAAAGAAAAAUGCUGGAAUUCAGAAUUUUUAGUCUUGCAAUUCUGGGUUUAUAUUUCACAAGUCUGAUGAGAUUAGGCCCAAUAGUACAGGCCUCCAUAGUUGAUUGAUUACAUUAAGAAUUACAAACAACAACAAAAAAAAAAAUGUAAUGUUUUCUAAAAUGUUGUUUAAAUACGCAAAUGAGGCAUUAUCUAAUUAAAUAUGCACUCAUUAGCAUGCAUUUCCAGAACAUAAAUGCUCUAUAAUUUUGUUGUCAUAUUAGAGUUUAGUAAGGUUUUUUGAAAGAGGAUUUUGGAUUUCUCUUAAUCACUCCAUAAGUCAGAAAAUACUGUCAACACACAGAAAAAAUAAAUGUUUAUAGGAAUAAAAAAAAAAUCAUAUUAAUCAGUGGGAAUGAUAUAUAAACAAAGUAAAAGCCUUCAUAUAUAGACAGAAGAAGAAAAAGCUUUAAAGAUAUGGAUUGGAAUUGAAAUCUGUGAUCUAAAUCAAUAAAAUAAACACUUAAUUGUGUAUUUUGCAUUUAGUCUAAAAAAAAAAAACACUAGUCUGGAAUAAAAUCUCAGACCUGGCCAGUGCAUGAAAGCAUGUUUUUGCCUGGAGUGUCUCACCUUAAAAAUGAGUCUGCAGGAACUAGCAAUCCGUCCCACUCUCUUCCUGAUGUCAUGGCAUUGGCUGUGUGUGUGUGUGUGUGUGUGUGUGUGUGUGUGUCAUCAUGUGUUGUCCACUAGGGGUCCCGCUGUGUGGGAGGGGCCGGUGGGAGGGGCCGCCUCGCUCUCAGAGGAACGGCAGUGGAUUGGUGACACCGAGUGGUACGUCCCAAACAAAGGCAGACGCACACAAAGGGAGCUCACACACACACACACACACACACACACACACACACCCUCAGCUGUUCCAAACGGCCACCCGGACCCUCCUUCUUUGUGUUCCUCUGCGCUGGAGACAAAGACGACACAGAAGCCAUGAGAAGCAGAACAAAUCAGAGCAGCUCCAUCUGUACAGCAGCAGCGCCUGCAUCCACAGACCGCUGCUCACGCUUGAAUCCUUUCACACAAACAUUACAAUCCUGACGUCCUUCACUCGCCCUCGUGUCCUUCAAACCCUUCUUUCUUCUGUGAAACAUGAAGAAGAUGUUUUGAAGAGUGUUCUUUCGCUUGCACACAGUGGAAGAUCUUACUAACAUCCGUCAAGCACAAGUCGACUGUUAUUCCACGUCUUCUGAAGUCAAAUGUGAGGAACGGGCUGAAAAUCACAUUUUAAAUCAGUCUUGAAGCUGUCAGAUGCAUCAGAUAUUCUCUUAUAAAUAAAGCUUCCAAAAGAACCAUUUUUGGCUUCGUGAAGAACCUUUCAGUGAACAGUUCUUCAAAGAAUCAUCUUAUUUCUUUUUAAAGGACCCUUUAUUAUAAUGUGCAUUGAAAAGCACAAAAAGGUUCAGUUCCAAGAAAGAACCUUUAUUUUUAAGAAUAUGUAGCACUAUGUUUGAUUUGGACACUGCAGUGCAUGACAAUCAUUUACAUUUGAAUUAGUUUCUCACACAAAGCAUCAUAUGCAUAAGGGUCAUGUGACACAGAAGACUGGAGUAAUGAUGCUGAAAAUUCAGAUUUGAUCACAGAAAUAAAUUACAGUUUAACAGAGAUUCACAUAGAGAAUGGCUUUUUUACAUUAGAAUAAUAUUUCACAAUUUUUACUGUAUUUUCUUUUUUUCUUUUUUUACAAAUAAAUGCAGCCUUGGUGAGCAGAAGAGACUUUUAUUUAUUUUUGAAGAAACUUUUUCCACUACAAAGAACCUUUAAGGGUUUCUGCAGGUCUUAUAAAGUCUUUAUACACUCUUCCACAAACUAAGGCCUUAAAUCAGAGCAGAAAGUAGUUGCAUUUAGUCUU